ensembl:lncRNA
ACUUUGCAUUCUGGUUUUAUUUGCUUUCUGGGCCGUGAGCCUCCUCCAUGCGCUUGGUUUGGGUUUUUAAGCCUUUUGCAGCAGCACUUUGGCUCUGAGCUGGCCAGGAUGCCCGCUGCUCCUGGGUGCCACUGGCCAGAUGACCACAUGCCUGCAGGUGCCAGAUACCCAAGCAGACAUUGGCAAGAGCCUCUGGUUUGGCUGUGGGCGUCAUAUUUGGAGUUCUUUUAUGACCUUUGUAAUGUGUUUCCAGUGGUAAAACUGAAAAAUGGCCUUGCUGGUAACUGAGGGGGCAUCAUGACGAUUUGAGGUGUGUUUUAGACCUCACAUUUUUAUGGACUAUCUCUGUGAAAUUCACUCUUACUCACUUUGAUUGGAGAUGCUCUUAGAAUAACUUGUAUACUAAAAGCUUUGGAAGACUAGCAAAUCCUCAAAGGUUUUUUUCUGACCAAGAUCCAGGCAUGAACAAUUUAAUGUUGUUGAUCAUGCACUGGAACAGGUUGCCCAAGGAGGCUGUGGAUGCCCCAUCCCUGCAGGCAUUCAAGGCCAGGCUGGAUGUGGCUCUGGGCAGCCUGGGCUGCUGGUUGGCGACCCUGCACAUAGCAGGGGGUUGGAACUGGAUGAGCACUGUGGUCCUUUUCAACCCAGGCCAUUCUAGGAUUGUGUGAUUGAUUCUAUGAUUCUUGAAUGUGAGAGCUUCAUCUCUGGAAAGAAAUAAGUUGCCAAUAUGCAGGCAGAGGCGGCUGCAGUGCCGGAGUAAUAGGCGUUAAAAUGCAUUUCAGGUCUCCAACGUGUGCAGCAGGCAUCCCCCUGACCAAGGGCAAAUCCCAGAUCCCAUCCACAGGCGAGGAAGGGUGGAGGCAGGGUCCAGCUUGGAGUUGGAAGGAAACUGAACAAGGCUCCAUUUGGGGCGGUGGGUGCUGGUCUGGUGGCUUCUGCCCUCUGUGGAGAGCACUCUCCUGGUCCAAAGAUGCUCCCGCUGCAGAUUAACCUUGAAGAGAACAACGUUUGAAUGUAGAGAUGCUGUUCCUCUGUGUGGAUUUGGACAUGUUGGAGAACUUUGCAGCUGCCGAGAGGGAGUCCUUCCCUCUGGGCAGGCUCUUUUGUUUAAAAGAAAGAAAUGAGGGCAAUUUUCCACUUGCUAUGGUAUAGCACAGCUUUGGACAGGCAGGAGUUACGGAGGAGGGGGGUGGAACAGAUAUACUGCUUCAGCUCCUUCUCGUACACCAUCCUUGCUAAAAACUGGCAGGUCAAAAGCGGCGUUUGUUUCUAAAACUGUCCUCAUGCCCUGAUUUCAGGGAUCUGCAGAGCAAGUGCAGGUGAAAAUAAUGUGACAUCUGAUGGUAGAAGGCACACAGAGCAACGCAAAAGGCAGAGCCUGCAAUCUGCUUUUAGAUCAGCUUGUUUCUUGCAUAGGUAACAGCACAGCCAGGAGAGAACUCCAUGCACCAGGGCUUUGGUCUUGUGCUCUCUGAGUCCUAUAAAGCUGUCCCUCCUGAAAACUGUUCUGCAUGAUGGGGAGAAGGUUCUUCAGCACACAUUUGUCUGCAUAGCAGUGGUCUUAUUGCCACUGCCCCAGAUGACAGGGAUUUGCUGUGAGCUCC